CCUACGGGAGGCAGCAGUGGGGAAUAUUGCACAAUGGGGGGAACCCUGAUGCAGCAACGCCGCGUGGGUGAAGAAGUUCUCCGGUAUGUAAAGCCCUGUCAGCAGGGAAGAAAAUGACGGUACCUGACCAAGAACCCGCGGCUAACUACGUGCCAGCAGCCGGGGUAAUACGUAGGGGGCAAGCGUUAUCCGGAUUUAAUGGGUGUAAAGGGAGCGUAGACGGCAAGGCAAGUCCGGAGUGAAAGCCCGUGGGCCAAACACGGGACAGCUUUGGAAACUGUGUUGCUGGAGUGAAGGAGGGGUAAGCGGAAUGCCUAGUGUAGCGGUGAAAUGCAUAGAUAUUAGGAGGAACACCGGUGGCGAAGGCGGCUUACUGGACUGUAACUGACGUUGAGGCUCGAAGGCGUGGGGAGCGAACAGGAUUAGAUACCCCGGUAGUC
rnacentral:rRNA from 1 species